UGGCCAUCCAGUCCUUGACAUGGUAA
rnacentral:piRNA from 1 species